GUCGGGGUAGCUCAGAUGGUUAGAGCACAGCAUUCAUAACGCUGAGGUCGCGGGUUCGACUCCCGCCUCCGACA
rnacentral:tRNA from 2 species